rnacentral:rRNA from 1 species
GACGAGGGGUCCUAGCGUUGUUCGGAAUCACUGGGCGUAAAGCGUAUGUAGGCGGGCUUUUAAGUCAGGUGUGAAAUCCCAUGGCUCAACCAUGGAAUUGCAUUUGAAACUGGAAGUCUUGAGUGUGGGAGAGAUUGGUAGAAUACCUGGUGUAGUGGUGAAAUACGUAGAUAUUGGGAGGAACACCGGUGGCGAAGGCGGCUACCUGGACCGGUUCUGACGCUGAUGCGCGAAAGCGUGGGUAGCAAACAGG